UCCUUCUUCAUUCAAAGACCCUAAGUCCAAACUCCUCCUUCAAACAUUAAGCACCAUUUCGUUCAGAAGAUAACCCUAAGCCCUCUCUUCAUUGUGCCUCACCCUAACCCUCUCUUCAUCGUGCCUCACCCUCACCCUAACUCUGCGAGGACGACACUCCGUGAAGAACGUCGCUGCGCUCGCAAUGCCUCCACCGGAAAUCCCUCUUCCGGCAUCCCUAACCCUCCUUCUGUGGUGAUUCUCUCAGGCGGUGACUCCCUCUGCUCACUUGCUGUCGCAAACUCACCGUCGAUGCUCCCUUUGCCGCUGCUCCCUUCCAUCGCUGCAAACCCCUAACCCCUUCUGCGCUACUCCCUUUUUUCGUGCAGGCCGGGGCCCCUUCCAUCGAUGCUUCGUUGCUGGUUUUGAGAGUUGGUAACCCAGCCGCCUGGUGAUUCAAUUUCCAGCAUUUUUUCAGUCCCAAGGCCAAUUUUGUUGUCGCUACUUCAUAUGAUAACUAGGUUCGAUGUUGGGAGAUUGCAAGGAAUGGAACUGUUAUCAAUAGCACACCCAAGGCUUCAAUAUCUCAUGACCAACCAGUUUUGUGCUCCACUUGGAAGGAUGAUGGAACACCGGUUUUCUCCGGAGGCUGUGACAAGGUGUCAAGGUUGUAUAUAGAACAAAGGAGCUGGAAGAGCAACAAACAAAGAGGAUGCUGGUAUGGAGUGGAUUCUUCACCUUGAUACGGAUGAAUUAAUACACCCAGUGGGUGCUCGAGAGUAUUCUUUGAGGCAGUUGCUUCUUGAGGUUCCAGGAAAUGUAGACAUGGUCAUAUUUCCUAACUAUGAGAGCAGUGUUGAGCGAGAUGAUAUUAAAGAACCUUUUAGUGAGGCUAGUGAGAUCAAGUUGGAGGAGGUUGCUAUUUUGCAUUACACAUGCUAAAUUCUCAUAUCUCACUUUCAGACGUGAUCGCUGUGGUUGCAAACCUACCAAAGAUGAUGUAAAAAGAUACUUCAUGUUGGAAUUUGACAGAUCUAUGAGUUUGAAUGGUUCUGGAGCUGUGGCUUCAUCAGUUCCCAAUUCAUCAGCUUUCUUCGGAAGCAGCUUGAAGAAGGUUACAUCAAGAAUCCACAACAGUAGCAAGGUUUCCUCUGGAAGACUUCAAGAUUGUGGCGAUCGAUGAGGACAAGCAGACAGAUACGGACAGAUGGAAAGGGUUGGUCUAUGAUAUCUCAGAUGACCAGCAAGACAUCACAAGAAGGAAGGGUAUUUUGUAGUUUUUAAUGUGUAUUUUGUAGAUUUUAGAGGAUGUAGAUAAUGUAAUAGUUGUUGGAAUUGUAAUGUAUGUAUUACAAAGUUAUGGGUAGUUGUUAUCACUUUGAUUUUUUGUUAGAGCUUGUCAUGUGAUCAACCACUAUAUUUGGUGUACAAGUUUAUGAAGGUUUUAUAUUGUUAA